UAACAAGGUUUCCGUAGGUGAACCUGCGGAAGGAUCAUUGUCGAU
rnacentral:rRNA from 1 species